CUACGGGCGGCACCAGUGGGGAAUAUUGCACAAUGGGCGCAAGCCUGAUGCAGCCAUGCCGCGUGUAUGAAGAAGGCCUUCGGGUUGUAAAGUACUUUCAGCGGGGAGGAAGGGAGUAAAGUUAAUACCUUUGCUCAUUGACGUUACCCGCAGAAGAAGCACCGGCUAACUCCGUGCCAGCAGCCGCGGUAAUACGGAGGGUGCAAGCGUUAAUCGGAAUUACUGGGCGUAAAGCGCACGCAGGCGGUUUGUUAAGUCAGAUGUGAAAUCCCCGGGCUCAACCUGGGAACUGCAUCUGAUACUGGCAAGCUUGAGUGUCGUAGAGGGGGGUAGAAUUCCAGGUGUAGCGGUGAAAUGCGUAGAGAUCUGGAGGAAUACCGGUGGCGAAGGCGGCCCCCUGGACGAAGACUGACGCUCAGGUGCGAAAGCGUGGGGAGCAAACAGGAUUAGAUACCCCGGUAGUC
rnacentral:rRNA from 1 species